rnacentral:tRNA from 1 species
GCAUAUUUAGUAUAUAAAAUAUAUUAGAUUUAGAUUCUAAAGAAUAUAAAUUAUGUU